UUAUUUGGUCUACUAAUGAUGAUGUGGGGAUGGAGCAGAUUCAUAUUUCUUGAUUCAUAUAGGAUAUUAUUUGGUCGAAUGAAGAUGAUGAUGGGAAUGGAGAAGAUGAGGUAGAGGCAAACGUAGGUCUCAGAGGCUAAAGAACACGUGUUGGAGGAUGCUUGAAAUAAUUCAAGCUAUGAAAUCAUAUUGCGAAUACAUUUG
rnacentral:lncRNA from 1 species